GUCGUUGGGUCAAACCAGCGACUGCGUUGGCGUUGCGGGCUCGGUCCGUCGGUGCCCCACAAAGGGCUAUCGGCGUGUCAACCGGCCCGCCCGUCCCCUCCUUCUGGAUUCCCGUUCCUGCUAUUGAGUUAGUGGGGACGUCACAGGGGGCUCAUCGUCGUCGUGCAAACGGCGGCGGUGGGUCCCUGGGGCCCAGAUCGUUUACCGUGAAAAAAUUAGAGUGUUCAAAGCAGGCAGAUCCAAUUUUCUGCCACCGAAUACAUUAGCAUGGGAUAAUGGAAUAGGACCCUGUCCUCCUAUUUUCAGUUGGUUUUGGCAGCGCGAGGACUAGGGUAAUGAUUAAUAGGGAUAGUUGGGGGCAUUAAUAUUUAAUUGUCAGAGGUGAAAUUCUUGGAUUUAUGAAAGAUUAACUUCUGCGAAAGCAUCUGCCAAGGAUGUUUUCAUUAAUCAAGAACGAAAGUUAGGGGAUCGAAGACGAUCAGAUACCGUCGUAGUCUUAACCAUAAACGAUGCCGACCAGCGAUUAGGAGACGUUGAAU
rnacentral:rRNA from 1 species